rnacentral:ncRNA from 1 species
UAUUCCUCAAGAACAAUAUUAUCAAAAGGGAUGAUAAGAUGUUGGGUUCAAGUCCCAUUGAUAGGGGAUAAGCUUCAUCGUCGAGAGGGAAACAGCCCGGAUCACCAGCUAAGGCCCCUAAAUGGCCGCUCAGUGAUAAAGGAGGUAGGGGUGCAGGGACAACCAGGAGGUUUGCCUAGAAGCAGACACCCUUGAAAGAGUGCGUGAUAGCUCACUGAUCGAGCGCUCUUGCGCCGAAGAUGAACGGGGCUAAGCGGUCUGCCGAAGCUGUGGGGUGUAAAAAUACAUCGGUAGGGGUGCGUUCUGCCUUAGAGGGAAGCCUCCGCACGAGCGGUGGUGGAUGAAGCGGAAGCG